rnacentral:rRNA from 1 species
UACGAGGGGGGCGAGCGUUGUUCGGAAUUACUGGGCGUAAAGCGCGCGCAGGCGGUCUUCCAAGUCAGUGGUGAAAGCCCGGAGCUCAACUCCGGAACUGCCAUUGAAACUGUUGGACUUGAGUACGAGAGAGGUGAGUGGAAUUCCCAGUGUAGAGGUGAAAUUCGUAGAUAUUGGGAAGAACACCGGUGGCGAAGGCGGCUCACUGGCUCGUAACUGACGCUCAGGCGCGACAGCGUGGGGAGUCAAACAGG